CCAAUAGCGUAUAUUAAAGUUGUUGCAGUUAAAAAGCUCGUAGUUGAAUUUCGGGAUCAGUAUGUUGGUCGUGCUUCGGUACGUACUGUCAUUACUGGUUUCUCCCUUCUGAAGAACCUUGAUGUCAUUAAUUUGGUGUCUUGGGGAAUCAGGACUGUUACUUUGAAAAAAUUAGAGUGUUUAAAGCAAGCAUACGCUUGAAUACAUUAGCAUGGAAUAAUGAAAUAGGACGUUUGAUUCUAUUUUGUUGGUUUUUAGGAUCGACGUAAUGAUUAAUAGGGAUAGUUGGGGGCAUUAGUAUUCAAUUGUCAGAGGUGAAAUUCUUGGAUUUAUUGAAGACUAACUACUGCGAAAGCAUUUGCCAAGGAUGUUUUCAUUAAUCAAGAACGAAAGUUAGGGGAUCGAAGACGAUCAGAUACCGUCGUAGUCUUAACCAUAAACUAUGCCGACUAGGGAUCGGAUGAUGUUAAUUUUUUAAUGACUCAUUCGGCGCCUUACG
rnacentral:rRNA from 1 species